AUGAACGCUGGCGGCGUGCCUAAUACAUGCAAGUCGAGCGAACAGACGAGAGUGCUUGCCCUCUCUGACGUUAGCGGCGGACGGGUGAGUAACACGUGGGUAACCUACCUAUAAGACUGGGAUAACUUCGGGAAACCGGAGCUAAUACCGGAUAAUAUUUAGCUUCGCAUGAAGCAAUAGUGAAAGACGGUUCUGCUGUCACUUAUAGAUGGACCCGCGGUGUAUUAGCUAGUUGGUGAGGUAACGGCUCACCAAGGCAACGAUACAUAGCCGACCUGAGAGGGUGAUCGGCCACACUGGGACUGAGACACGGCCCAGACUCCUACGGGAGGCAGCAGUAGGGAAUCUUCCGCAAUGGACGAAAGUCUGACGGAGCAAUGCCGCGUGAGUGAAGAAGGUUUUCGGAUCGUAAAACUCUGUUGUAAGGGAAGAACAAGUACGUUAGUAACUGAACGUACCUUGACGGUACCUUACCAGAAAGCCACGGCUAACUACGUG
rnacentral:rRNA from 1 species